GCCUGAUUAAGCAUUGACACUGCAUUUGUCACCACCAGCUCUGAUGGUUUGGACAUGUAGAAAUGUAUUGCAGGAGAAUAUGCAAACAGCUGCUGUAAGGUGAGCUGAUCGGGACAACUGCCAGCAGGCAGAAGGGAAGGCAUAAUUAAUGGGCACCCUUCAGCAGAGCUCAGAGCAGACCAAACGCCAAUGCAGAAGGCUCAAGAAAGAGGCAAACAGACUAGCCACUGCUCCAGGAUGACUGUGGCUCUUUAUGAGUGAAGAGAAAGGGUGGAGACUGAAGACAGAACUGGGGACAGUGACAGGCUUGGGGAAGAACAGCUGAUUCAGCAGUCCCAAGCAUCUGAACACAAGGUGGACAUUCUCCAGGGUGACAUCGCAAAAUACAUGGGUGAAGACAACCUAGUGGCCGUGACUUGGAGCACCCUUCCUCACAAUGAAGGCAUUCUGGGCCAGCCUGAAAAACAGCAUGGAAAUAAAUCACCUAAGUACAAGGGACUGGCUUAAAAAUGGUCUAAUGAAAUGUCAAAAGAGUUCUCCUGUGGAGCUUCGGAGAAGUUUCCUUACCCUUUAAAAAAAGAAAAGAAGAAAAGGAAAAGGUGAUGAUGAUGACACACAGAAGGCAUACACAUUUCCAUUUCUCCCUUUGGAAACUUUCAUGUCUGGGUUGAGAAGUUAACAGAAAGGCAAACAGCCUGAGGUCAAAGAUGACACACUGAGGAUAACAAAAUGGAAAGACAAUCUGAGCUCUUGAUGAUGUGUGACUGAAUGAGCCAAAUUAAACAACUAUAGAGCUGUUCUACUUCCAAUCUAAUUAUGUGAGGGAUAAAUG
rnacentral:lncRNA from 1 species